rnacentral:rRNA from 1 species
AUUGAACGCUGGCGGCAGGCCUAACACAUGCAAGUCGAACGAGUGGCGGACGGGUGAGUAAUGUCUGGGAAACUGCCCGAUGGAGGGGGAUCACUACUGGAAACGGUAGCUAAUACCGCAUACCAUCGGAUUUGCCCAGAUGGGAUUGGCUAGUAGGUGGGGUAACGGCUCACCUGGGCGACGAUCCCUAGCUGGUCUGAGAGGAUGACCAGCCACACUGGAACUGAGACACGGUCAAGACUCCUACGGGAGGAAGCAGUGGGGAAUAUUGCACAAUGGGCGCAAGCCUGAUGCAGCAAUGCCGCGUGUAUGAAGAGGGCCUUCGGGUUGUAAAGUACGUUAAGCGAGGAGGCGUUACUCGCAGAAGAAGCACCGGCUAACUCCGUGCCAGCAGCCGCGGUAAUUC